rnacentral:rRNA from 1 species
AAUGCGCAGAUAUCAGGAGGAACACCGAUGGCGAAGGCAGGUCUCUGGGCCACUACUGACGCUGAGAAGCGAAAGCAUGGGGAGCGAACAGGAUUAGAUACCCUGGUAGUCCAUGCCGUAAACGUUGGGAACUAGGUGUGGGUCUCAUUCCACGAGAUCCGUGCCGCAGCUAACGCAUUAAGUUCCCCGCCUGGGGAGUACGGCCGCAAGGCUAAAACUCAAAGGAAUUGACGGGGGCCCGCACAAGCGGCGGAGCAUGCGGAUUAAUUCGAUGCAACGCGAAGAACCUUACCAAGGCUUGACAUAUGCGAGAACGCGGCAGAGAUGUCGUUCUCUUUGGACACUCGCAUACAGGUGGUGCAUGGUUGUCGUCAGCUCGUGUCGUGAGAUGUUGGGUUAAGUCCCGCAACGAGCGCAACCCUCGUUCUAUGUUGCCAGCACGUGAUGGUGGGGACUCAUAGGAGACUGCCGGGGUCAACUCGGAGGAAGGUGGGGAUGACGUCAAAUCAUCAUGCCCCUUAUGUCUUGGGCUUCACGCAUGCUACAAUGGCCGGUACAAAGGGCUGCGAUACCGCGAGGUGGAGCGAAUCCCAAAAAACCGGUCUCAGUUCGGAUUGGGGUCUGCAACUCGACCCCAUGAAGUCGGAGUCGCUAGUAAUCGCAGAUCAGCAACGCUGCGGUGAAUACGUUCCCGGGCCUUGUACACACCGCCCGUCAAGUCACGAAAGUCGGUAACACCCGAAGCCGGU